rnacentral:rRNA from 1 species
ACUCAAAGGAAUUGACGGGGGCCCGCACAAGCAGCGGAGCGUGUGGUUUAAUUCGAUGCGACGCGAAGAACCUUACCUGGGUUUGACAUGGAGUUGCACCAGGGGUAAUGCCCUGUCCCGUUCGCGGGCGGCUCCACAGGUGCUGCAUGGCUGUCGUCAGCUCGUGCCGUGAGGUGUUGGGUUAAGUCCCCUAACGAGCGCAACCCCUGGGGUCCGUUGGACUUUUCGGGCCCGACUGCCGCGCGCAACGCGGAGGAAGGUGGGGAUGACGUCAAGUCAGCACGGCCCUUACGUCCAGGGCGACACACACGCUACAAUGGCCGGUACAAUGGGUUGCCAAGUCGCGAGGCGGAGCCAAUCCCCCAAAGCCGGUCUCAGUUCGGAUGGUAGGCUGCAACUCGCCUGCCUGAAGCCGGAGUUGCUAGUAACCGUGGGUCAGCACACCACGGUGAAUACGUUCCCGGGCCUUGUACACACCGCCCGU